rnacentral:rRNA from 1 species
AGAGUUUGAUCCUGGCUCAGACGAACGCUGGCGGCAGGCUUAACACAUGCAAGUCGAACGCAUCCUUCGGGGGUGAGUGGCAGACGGGUGAGUAACGCGUGGGAACUGCCCUUCAGUUCGGAAUAACCCAGGGAAACUUGGGCUAAUACCGGAUACGUGCGAGAGCAGAAAGAUUUAUCGCUGAAGGAUCGGCCCGCGUCUGAUUAGCUAGUUGGUGAGGUAAUGGCUCACCGAGGCGACGAUCAGUAGCUGGUCUGAGAGGAUGAUCAGCCACAUUGGGACUGAGACACGGCCCAAACUCCUACGGGAGGCAGCAGUGGGGAAUAUUGGACAAUGGGCGCAAGCCUGAUCCAGCCAUGCCGCGUGAGUGAUGAAGGCCUUAGGGUUGUAAAGCUCUUUCGUCCGGGACGAUAAUGACGGUACCGGAAGAAGAAGCCCCGGCUAACUUCGUGCCAGCAGCCGCGGUAAUACGAAGGGGGCUAGCGUUGUUCGGAAUCACUGGGCGUAAAGGGCGCGUAGGCGGCUUGAUAAGUCGGGGGUGAAAGCCUGUGGCUCAACCACAGAAUUGCCUUCGAUACUGUCUGGCUUGAGACCGGAAGAGGUAAGUGGAACUGCGAGUGUAGAGGUGAAAUUCGUAGAUAUUCGCAAGAACACCAGUGGCGAAGGCGGCUUACUGGUCCNNNNCGACACUGAGGCGCGAAAGCGUGGGGACAAACAGGAUUAGAUACCCNNGUAGUCC